rnacentral:rRNA from 1 species
CCACCACCAAAGCAUUCUCUGGUGUUGAAGGCCCUGCAAAGCAGCAUCGCGGUGGUGGAGCGUCGUUUGCGACGCCCAACACACAAAACAAGCGGUGAGUGCUUUGGGGUGGGGUGACUGCGUACCUUUUGUAUAAUGGGUCAGCGACUUAUAUUCUGUAGCAAGGUUAACCGAAUAGGGGAGCCGGAGGGAAACCGAGUCUUAAUUGGGCGUUAAGUUGCAGGGUAUAGACCCGAAACCCGGUGAUCUAGCCAUGGGCAGGUUGAAGGUUGGGUAACACUAACUGGAGGACCGAACCGACUAAUGUUGAAAAAUUAGCGGAUGACCUGUGGCUGGGGGUGAAAGGCCAAUCAAACCGGGAGAUAGCUGGUUCUCCCCGAAAGCUAUUUAGGUAGCGCCUCGUGAACUCAUCUCCGGGGGUAGAGCACUGUUUCGGCUAGGGGGCCAUCCCGGCUUACCAACCCGAUGCAAACUGCGAAUACCGGAGAAUGUUAUCACGGGAGACACACGGCGGGUGCUAACGUCCGUCGUGAAGAGGGAAACAACCCAGACCGCCAGCUAAGGUCCCAAAGUCAUGGUUAAGUGGGAAACGAUGUGGGAAGGCCCAGACAGCCAGGAUGUUGGCUUAGAAGCAGCCAUCAUUUAAAGAAAGCGUAAUAGCUCACUGGUCGAGUCGGCCUGCGCGGAAGAUGUAACGGGGCUAAACCAUGCACCGAAGCUGCGGCAGCGAACGUAUCACCCAAGACAACUUUGCGGAGUUGACGAUUGACGGAGCGAAGCGACGUCAAAGCGUUCAUUAAAGUCGAGUUGGCUUAGGGAUACGUUCGUUGGGUAGGGGAGCGUUCUGUAAGCCAGUGAAGGUGUGUCGUGAGGCAUGCUGGAGGUAUCAGAAGUGCGAAUGCUGACAUAAGUAACGAUAAAGCGGGUGAAAAGCCCGCUCGCCGGAAGACCAAGGGUUCCUGUCCAACGUUAAUCGGGGCAGGGUGAGUCGACCCCUAAGGCGAGGCCGAAAGGCGUAGUCGAUGGGAAACGGGUUAAUAUUCCCGUACUUGGUGUUACUGCGAAGGGGGGACGGAGAAGGCUAUGUUGGCCGGGCGACGGUUGUCCCGGUUUAAGCGUGUAGGCUGGUUUUCCAGGCAAAUCCGGAAAAUCAAGGCUGAGGCGUGA